UUUGACCAUUUAUCAAUUGGGGAAUGACUUGCAUUCUUAUAAAUUUGACACAGUUCUUUAUAUAUUUUAGAAAUGAGACCUUUAUUAUAAACACUGGCUGUAAAGAUCUUUUCCAGCUUUGUACUUCCCUUUUAAUCUUGUUUCUGUUGGCUUUGUUUGUGCAAAAACUUUUAAAUUUAAUGUAAUCAAUGUUGUUCAUUUUGCCAUUCAAAAUAUUCUCUAGUUCUUCUUAGAUCAUAAAUUCCUCCCUUCUCCAAAGAUCUGAUAGGUAAGUUAUCCCUUGCUCUCCUUAUUUGUUUAUGGUAUCAUCCUUUAGACCCAAAUGAUAUACCUAUUUUGAAUUUAUUGUGGUAUGGGUUGUGAGAUGUAGGUCUAUGCCAAGUUUCUGCCAUAUUAUUUUCCAGUUUUCACAGCAAUUUUUGUCAAAUAGUCUUUUUCCAGAAGUUGGAUUUUGGGGAUUUAUCAAAUACUAGAUUACUAUAGGCCUUGAUUAUUGUGCCGUAUGAAUCUAAUCUAUUCUACUGAUCCACCACUCUGUUUCUUAACCAGUACCAAAUGGUUUUGAUGACCGCUGCUUUAUAAUAUACUUUUAGGUUUGGUACUGCUCAACCACCAUCCUUUGUAUUUUUUUUCAUGGUCUUCUCAUUUUGCCUUUUCUGUUCCCCCUCCCCUCUCAUUCCCCUUCUAUUCCAGUCCUUCAAAAUCCAACUCAAUCCAUUUCUUCCCACUCUUAGAUUUUCAGAGCAUAGCAUUUGUCAUGUGAUAAAUACUCUGUAUUAUAAUCACUGCUUAGAGACAUUAUGGCCCAGUGAACAGCACACUUGGACAUUACUGUAUGACCCAAGGCACCUGAGGCAAUUCCUUGGGGCUUGUCUACUAUGUCAUAGAUAAUUGAGAUCUGUUUUGGUAGAAAGAGUUCCCAUACUGGGAGUUCCCUGCACUAUAGAAAUCAUAGCUCUAAGAAAAUGGGAGCUUCUUGGAGAUGAUACCUUUUCUUUUUUUUUUUUUUUUGCAUCCACAGUCCCUAACAAUGCCUGGCACAUAGCAGGUGUUUAAUAGUUGCUUUUUGAAAAUAAAUCCUUCCUAUCAUUAGAUAUUAUUCCUUAAUUAUCUCAUGUCCCCAGUGGGGCUCUCAGUUAUAUCUUAUCCAUCUUCAUUUACCCUCACAGUGCUCCACUCAAAAGUCCUAGAGAUGUUCAGGAUGUUGGGUGAAUAAGUGGUCAUUUAUCCAAAUCAGAAUUCCACAAGUAUGGUAAUUUUCUUCUCACCACAUCUUCUGCUUGGGAGGUGCCUCAAAGGCAGCCAAGCCAGCUUCUUAGCUAAUGUAGGAACAUCCCCCUCUCUAAUAUCUGCUUGGUCACCUCCAGUGAUAGGAAGCUUAGCACCUUCUAAAACAGCCAUUUCAUUGUUGGACAAUUCAAAAUAUUAGCAAGUUCUUCCUUCCAUCAAAUUAGACUUUAUCUCUGUAUAAUUUAUACUGUCUACUGAAUGUGAAAUAUAUUAUUGAAUGCAUGUCACACACACACACACACCCUCAUAAAUCAACAGUCAGGUUUUGUUCAAACCGAAGAGAGCAAUUGAAAGAAAAGUCUCAUUCAUUUUAACUAUUAUUUGCCCAAUAGGGAAAGGAAGAGGAGGGAGAACUGAUAUUUGCCAAAUGGAAGAAAGCAAAUUUUAAUCUGCCAUGAAGUAUGGAUGAUAACAUCCCACUAUCAGCUCAUGCCUUUUAUGCUCCCCGCUGCCCCCAGCCAGCACCCCCAAGCCAGGCCGGGCUUGACUCAAAGCAGAUGGAGCUGUCAGGGAAUCACUCCCACAGAAUGAGAGAGCUAGACUCCAAAGAUCCUUCUGGCUUGAAAUCUACAAUCUUCUGACUCAUGAAAAUGCUCCCGGGUUACAAAAAGGUGACCAAGCUCUUCUCCUGGUAACACAAAACAAGAGCCUGAAUGAUUUUGAAGUUCAGUCGCAUCUUGUCUGUCUCAGAACCUUGUUGGACAAGUCGCUGAAAACCCCUGACCCUUGGACGUUAGCACCUAGGCGCCUGCUCGAUUCUCAGCCCAACUUCCAAUGACCGAAGAGGACUGAGAACAAAGAAGACCGAGAUCCUCGGAGCCACUGCCCCACUCACCUCGAGGAUGACUCUGGGUUUGCUGGCUCUUGCUACUAAUUAUCCUGAGUCACAGCAUCAUGUUUGUUCCUUUCUAAAGGUACCUGGGGAAUGUGGCUCCCAGAAAUCUCUCCUUAAGCAGAGGUCAGAAAUCUAAGGUCCAGUCUACAGAAGGGUGUUGUGCCUACUGGCAAGGGAAGGCAAACUGCCUCCGCAGGGCUGUGGCAUGAAAAUGGAUCAUCAGUGGCUGGAUCUGUAACUAACAGAGCUUCUGCAUCAAUCCGCCCCCUUCCCCAGCUCUGGUCAGGUAUGACCCUUUCUUCUUCCAAAAACCUCUGCGUCAGAUACCCGAGGAAUCUAGGCAUUAAUCAGGGAGCCCGCUGCUACAUCCUGAAGUCCGAUCUGAGUCCGAUCCCUUUCUCAAGAAAAUUUCUUCAUUGGCAUUUGGGGGACGUUUCACUGACAUUUCUAUAAUUCAAUAAAAUAGAAAACCAAACUGUCUAGA